rnacentral:rRNA from 2 species
UUGCCCUAGUAACGGCGAGUGAAGCGGCAACAGCUCAAAUUUGAAAUCUGGCCUCGGCCCGAGUUGUAAUUUGCAGAGGAAGCUUUAGGCGCGGCACCAACUGAGUCCCCUGGAACGGGGCGCCAUAGAGGGUGAGAGCCCCGUAUAGUUGGACGCCUAGCCUGUGUAAAGCUCCUUCGACGAGUCGAGUAGUUUGGGAAUGCUGCUCAAAAUGGGAGGUAAAUUUCUUCUAAAGCUAAAUACCGGCCAGAGACCGAUAGCGCACAAGUAGAGUGAUCGAAAGAUGAAAAGCACUUUGAAAAGAGGGUUAAAUAGCACGUGAAAUUGUUGAAAGGGAAGCGCUUGUGACCAGACUUGCGCCGGGCGGAUCAUCCGGUGUUCUCACCGGUGCACUCCGCCCGGCUCAGGCCAGCAUCGGUUCUCGCGGGGGGAUAAAGGCCUCGGGAACGUAGCUCCUCCGGGAGUGUUAUAGCCCGGGGCGCAAUGCCCUCGCGGGGACCGAGGUUCGCGCAUCUGCAAGGAUGCUGGCGUAAUGGUCAUCAGCGACCCGUCUUGAAACACGGACCAAGGAGUCAAGGUUUUGCGCGAGUGUUUGGGUGUCAAACCCGCACGCGUAAUGAAAGUGAACGUAGGUGAGAGCUUCGGCGCAUCAUCGACCGAUCCUGAUGUUUUCGGAUGGAUUUGAGUAGGAGCGUUAAGCCUUGGACCCGAAAGAUGGUGAACUAUGCUUGGAUAGGGUGAAGCCAGAGGAAACUCUGGUGGAGGCUCGCAGCGGUUCUGACGUGCAAAUCGAUCGUCAAAUCUGAGCAU